rnacentral:rRNA from 1 species
AACGAACGCUGGCGGCAGGCCUAACACAUGCAAGUCGAGCGCGCCCACCGGGGUGAGCUGCGGACGGGGGAGUAACGCGUGGGAACGUGCCCUUUUCUACGGAAUAGUCCUGGUAAACUGAGAGUAAUAUCGUAUACGCUCCUCGGGGGAAAGAUUCAUCGGAAUAGUAUCGGCCCGCGUUGUACUAGGUAGUCGGUGGGGUAAUGGCCUACCAAGGCGUGGAUCCAUAGCGGGUUAGAGAGAAAGGGAAGCCACACUGAGAGUGAGACACAGCCCGGACUCCUACGCGAUGCGGGAAAGCCGGAUCCUAGACUAUCGGGGCAACCCUGAUCUAGCCAUGCCGCGUGAGUGAUGAAGGCCUUAGAGUUGUGAAGCUCUUUCAGCUGCGAAGGUAAUGACGGUACCAGCAGAAGAAGCCCCGGCUAACUCCGUG